UCUCUCUCUCUCUUUCUGCUUUUUAACUUUUCUUCUUCUUCUUCGUCUCUCUCUCUCUCUCUCUCUCUCUGUCUCUGUGUCUGUAAAAAGAAUUGAAUUGCUAGCUAUUCGGGAUUCUUUCCUCUUUCUGUCUCUAGACCCGACUUUCCUUUCCUCUCCGUCUACCCUUUUUCUCCGCUCAACUUUCUGUCAAGCAAAAAUCCACCCCCCGAAUUCGAUUGGAUUCUCUUCAUCAGCUCAGCAAGCUCAAGAUUGGAUCUUUCAACUUCCAGUGAUAUUCCUCUUUCUCGAAGUGAAACUCGCAGAGACUGAGAAAGACAACUUCAAAAUAAAUCAGUAUGGCAGUUUCCAUGAGAGACUUGGAUCCAGCUUUUCAAGGGGCUGGACAGAAGGCUGGAAUUGAGAUAUGGCGCAUUGAAAACUUCCACCCGGUUCCUGUUCCCAAGUCUUCUCAUGGGAAAUUUUUCACAGGCGAUUCAUAUGUUAUUUUGGUGACAGCUGCACUAAAGAAUGGCGCCUUGCGUCAUGAUAUUCACUAUUGGCUCGGAAAGGACACUUCACAGGAUGAAGCUGGAACUGCAGCUAUCAAAACAGUUGAACUAGAUGCAGCCCUAGGAGGACGUGCUGUACAAUAUAGGGAAGUACAGGGUCAUGAGACCGAGAAGUUCUUGUCCUAUUUUAAGCCAUGUAUAAUACCCCAAGAAGGCGGUAUUGCAUCCGGUUUCAAACACGCCGAGGCCGAAGAGCACAAGAUACGAUUGUUUGUUUGCAGAGGAAAGCAUGUUGUCCAUGUGAAAGAGGUUCCGUUUGCGCGAUCUUCUCUCAAUCACGACGAUAUUUUUAUUCUGGACACAAAAUUGAAGAUAUUUCAAUUUAAUGGGUCAAAUUCGUCCAUUCAAGAAAGAGCCAAAGCACUGGAGGUUGUUCAGUACAUUAAAGAUACUUAUCACGAUGGGAAAUGUGAUGUAGCCGCAAUUGAGGAUGGGAAACUAAUGGCUGAUGCUGAAACUGGAGAGUUCUGGGCCUUUUUUGGUGGCUUCGCUCCUCUUCCAAGAAAAGCAGUCGGAGAAGACGAUAAGACCAUUGAUUCUUAUGCUACCAAGCUGCUUUGUGUGGAGAAGGGGAAGGCAGAACCUGUGGAGGCUGAAGCAUUAACAAGGGAGUUGCUAAAUACGAACAAAUGUUAUCUUCUUGAUUGUGGGUUAGAAGUGUUCGUGUGGAUGGGGAGAACCACCUCCCUCGAGGACAGGAAGUGUGCCAGUGCCGCUGCCGAAGAGUUGCUUCGUACUCCUGAUCACCCACAAUCACAUAUAAUCCGUGUCAUUGAAGGAUUUGAGACGGUGGUCUUCCGGUCAAAGUUUGCCUCGUGGCCCCAAACGGCUGAUGUGGCUGUUUCUGAGGAUGGAAGAGGCAAAGUUGCAGCGCUUCUGAAACGUCAAGGAGUCAAUGUUAAAGGUCUGAUGAAGGCUGCUCCUGUUAAAGAAGAACCUCAACCGUACAUUGACUGCACUGGAAAUCUUCAGGUUUGGCGAGUAAAUGGGCAGGAGAAGAUUCUACUUCCAUCCUCUGAUCAGUCAAAGUUCUAUAGUGGAGACUGCUACAUCUUUCAGUAUUCUUACCCAGGAGAAGAUAAAGAGGAAUACCUCAUAGGCACAUGGUUCGGGAAGAAAAGUGUUGAGGAAGAUAGAACUUCUGCUGUUUCACAAGCUAAUAAGAUGAUCGAGGCUUUGAAAUACCUUCCUGCUCAGGCUCGAAUAUACGAAGGGAAGGAACCCAUACAGUUCUUUGCCAUCUUCCAAAGCUUCAUCACUUUCAAGGGAGGACUUAGUGAUGGAUAUAAGAGUUAUGUUGCUGAGAAGGAAAUUCCUGAUGAGACUUAUAAGGAGGACGGCAAUGCCUUAUUUAGAAUCCAGGGAACUGGUCCUGACAAUAUGCAAGCAAUUCAAGUUGAAGCAGUUGCAUCAUCUUUGAAUUCCUCGUACUGUUACAUACUACAUGCUGGGGCCACCGUAUUCACAUGGUCUGGGAACCUGACAACUUCCGAGGAUCAGGAACUCCUUGAGAGGCAGCUCGAUGUCAUAAAGCCAAAUGUCCAAUGUAAAACACAAAAGGAAGGUGCCGAGUCGGAACAUUUUUGGGAGUUGUUAGGAGGAAAAUCCGAAUACCCAUCUCAAAAGAUUGCACGAGAUGCUGAAAGUGAUCCUCACCUGUUUUCUUGCACUUUCUCAAAAGGAAUUUUAAAGGUGACGGAAAUAUACAACUUCACACAGGAUGAUUUGAUGACUGAAGACAUAUUUAUCCUCGAUUGCCACACCGAGAUAUUCGUAUGGGUUGGUCAACAAGUUGACUCCAAGUUGAGAGCCCAUGCUUUGACUAUCGGGGAGAAAUUUCUUGAGCGUGACUUUCUCUUGGAGAAUCUGUCCAGGGAAGCUCCAAUAUAUGUGGUAUCUGAAGGAAGCGAGCCCCCAUUUUUCACACGCUUCUUUACAUGGGACUCCGCAAAAUCUGCAAUGCAUGGUAACUCAUUCCAGAGGAAACUUACCAUAGUGAAGCACGGUGGUACUCCAUCUGUAGAUAAACCUAAACGAAGAACGUCUGUUUCAUAUGGAGGAAGAUCGAGCAUGCCUGACAAAUCUUCUCAGCGAUCAAGAAGCAUGUCUUUUAGCCCUGACCGAGUUCGCGUGAGGGGGAGAUCUCCAGCUUUCAACGCACUUGCUGCCACUUUUGAGAACCCAAAUGCGAGAAACCUCUCCACUCCGCCCCCAGUUGUGAGGAAGCCCUACCCAAAAUCUGUGACCCCUGACUCAGCAAAAUCGGCUUCCAAAUCUUCGUCUAUUUCUGCUCUCAGUGCCACUUUUGAGAAAUCUCCCCCAGUACGAGAAGUUAUCAUACCCAAAUCUAUUAAAGUGAGUCCAAAGAGUCUAGAGGUGCCUAAAUCAACCCCAGACUCGAACUCCAAAGAGAAUUCCAUGAGCAAUCGUAUAGGGUCCCUGACUAUUGAGGAGGAUGUCAAAGAGGGUGAAGCUGAGGACGAGGAAGGGCUCACCUUGCACCCCUACGAACAUCUUAAAACGACAUCAACCAAUCCUGUGACAGACAUAGAUGUCACCAAGAGAGAGACUUAUCUUUCAUCAGCAGAGUUCAGGGAGAAGUUCGGAAUGACGAAAGAGGCUUUCUAUAAGCUGCCGAAAUGGAGACAGAACAAGCUUAAGAUGGCACUUCUGUUGUUUUGAGUAUAUUUCGAUAGCUACAAGUUUUUUCCAUCUUCAGCUUUCUGCCAAUAUUAUUGCAUGUGCAAGAGGCUUUCUUGCAAAUAGGCUGCAGAAAACAGUUUUAUGGGACAAAUAAUUAGUUUCUCUUAUUAGACUGACACAGAAAAUUCAGAUAUGUAAGUUCACAGUCAAAAGGUUCGUGCCAGACAAAGAACUGUUGGGGAAUUUGGGAUCUCCUGAGUUGAAGGGACAGACAAGCUUUGAUCUUUUAGAUGCUCCUGCCCCGAAGGAAAAUAUUUUUUCUCCUAUAAUCGAUAAACAAAAGCGGAUCUUUUUUCCCGUCUCUUGGAACUGGUAUUGUUUGAGAGUCUAGAAUUUAUUUCCUUCAUUUUUUUCGGAUCAUUGAGUUAGCUGCUUGGUUGGGUUUAUUCUUUCGUUUCUGAGGUGUGUUGUUGUGAGGUUGCAGUUUUGAUCUUCUUCGGAUUUUCUUUUUUCCGGCUUUCUUUUUUCCCAUUUCGAGAAAUUUGAUUCCUUGUAACUUUAGUAGGAAGCGCGGGGCUACAAGUUCGAUUGUAUUUUUAUCGUCAUGAAGACGGAAGUUGUGUAUAAGAUGGGGUAAGAGAAUCAGCACACUUGUUAUAUCUGCUUUGGUAACGAUAAAAAAGGUGUGAUUUUAUUUUAGUA